AGUGAACGCUGGCGGCAGGCCUAACACAUGCAAGUCGAACGGCAGCACAAGAGAGCUUGCUCUCUGGGUGGCGAGUGGCGGACGGGUGAGGAGUGCAUCGGAAUCUGCCCAUUUGUGGGGGAUAACCUCGGGAAACCGGGACUAAUACCGCAUACGACCUACGGGUGAAAGCAGGGGAUCUUCGGACCUUGCGCAGAUGGAUGAGCCGAUGCCGGAUUAGCUAGUUGGAGGGGUAAAGGCCCACCAAGGCGACGAUCCGUAGCUGGUCUGAGAGGAUGAUCAGCCACACUGGGACUGAGACACGGCCCAGACUCCUACGGGAGGCAGCAGUGGGGAAUAUUGGACAAUGGGCGCAAGCCUGAUCCAGCCAUGCCGCGUGUGUGAAGAAGGCCUUCGGGUUGUAAAGCACUUUUGUUGGGAAAGAAAAGCAGCCGGUUAAUACCCGGUUGUCAUGACGGUACCCAAAGAAUAAGCACCGGCUAACUUCGUG
rnacentral:rRNA from 1 species